rnacentral:rRNA from 1 species
GGCUCAGGACGAACGCUGGCGGCGCGCCUAACACAUGCAAGUCGAACGGAGCUGAGAGAAGCUUGCUUUUCUCAGCUUAGUGGCGAACGGGUGAGUAACGCGUGAGUAACCUGCCCUGGAGUGGGGGACAACAGUUGGAAACGACUGCUAAUACCGCAUAAGCCCACGAUCCGGCAUCGGAUUGAGGGAAAAGGAUUUAUUCGCUUCAGGAUGGACUCGCGUCCAAUUAGCUAGUUGGUGAGGUAACGGCCCACCAAGGCGACGAUUGGUAGCCGGACUGAGAGGUUGAACGGCCACAUUGGGACUGAGACACGGCCCAGACUUCUACGGGAGGCAGCAGUAGG